GGGUUUUCCUUUGUGCUUGAUCUAACCAUGUGGUAGAACAAUACAAAUGGAACAUGGUUCUGUCAAGCACCAUGGAAGGCUGCAUACUCCCUGCAGCAUGGCAUGCCUGGAUACUUCUGCUGGGGCAGAAG
ensembl:miRNA